GACGAACGCUGGCGGCGUGCUUAACACAUGCAAGUCGAACGGAAAGGCCCUGCUUUUGCGGGGUGCUCGAGUGGCGAACGGGUGAGUAACACGUGAGUAACCUGCCCUUGACUUUGGGAUAACUUCAGGAAACUGGGGCUAAUACCGGAUAGGAGCUCCUGCUGCAUGGUGUGGGUUGGAAAGUUUCGGCGGUUGGGGAUGGACUCGCGGCUUAUCAGCUUGUUGGUGGGGUAGUGGCUUACCAAGGCUUUGACGGGUAGCCGGCCUGAGAGGGUGGCCGGCCACAUUGGGACUGAGGUACGGCCCAGUAUCCUACGGGAGGCAGCAGUGGGGAAUAUUGCACAGUGGGCGGAAGCCUGAUGCAGCAACGCCGCGUGCGGGAUGACGGCCUUCGGGUUGUAAACCGCUUUCGCCUGUGACGAAGCGUGAGUGACGGUAAUGGGUAAAGAAGCACCGGCUAACUACGUG
rnacentral:rRNA from 1 species